rnacentral:lncRNA from 1 species
CUUCUGCGAGCCCCUCCCAAAGCGACCAUCUUCCUCACACGUAGAAGCGAAAAGCCGCCCAACCUGCCAUUCUUGCUUUCCUUGAAGACAGCCGCCCAGCCCCUCUCACCUGGGACCCCGAGUCCUCCUCACCCUGCACCUCCUCCUGGCGUUUAUACUCGCCGCGAAUUCCCACCCGGAAUAGAAAGAACGAGGCUCGGGGUCCAGGACUGUGCCCAGGACGUGGAAACCCUUAGAGAACAGCUGUGGACUCCAGUGAAAAUUCUGGGCUCCCUACUCCAAAAGGGUAUUCGACGCCUCUCGCCCUCCCCCAGGAGCCGAGGACCCUGUUUGGAGGCAGCCCCUCCCCCUGGUUCCAGCACCCCGGGCUCCAGCCCUCUUCGGGAAUCCAGAGUGGCCCGACUGAGCGCUAGACCCCCGACCCGGGGCAGGGGUGGGGCCGUACCCAGGGAUGGGGCGAGGGCGCCUGCAGGGCGUGCCGACUGCCGGGGCUGGGCGGGCCGGCGGGACCCGGGCUGCGGGGCGCUGGGCUGCAUCGCCCCCGCACCUCGCACCGCGCCCCGGCUCCCCCUCGCGGUGCCGCAGUCCCACCGCGCCGCCCCCCGCGGUCCCGCCCGCCAUUACGUCACUGCGGGCCGGCGGGGGAGGGGGCGGGUCCCGUCAUAUAAAGGGCUGAGCUGGGGGGAGGUGGCAGGUCUCUGCUCUCCUGAGUCGGCCGGUCAGCGCUCGCGCACAGCUCCGAGGGCCAGCGCCUCCACCCGCUCCGCAGCCGGCACCAUGCGCGAGAUCGUGCACAUCCAGGCGGGCCAGUGCGGCAACCAGAUCGGCGCCAAGGUGGGCGCGCCGCGGGGAGGGGGCGACGGCCCCGAGGGUGCGGGCCGGGCCGGGCCGGGGCAGCGGGUCCCGAGGGCGCAGGCCAGGACUGGAGGGAGGUGGCGGCGGCCCGCCUGCCGGGUGGCGCAUUCCUGGCGCGGCUGCCGGGCGGGGCCCAGGAAGCCGCACAACCUGCCACUGUGCGCGCGGCGCCGCAGCUGUGUGUGCUUUUCAUCGAGGCCCCUUGAAAUCUCCUUCGGACACGGACCUUCUGGGGGACGUAGUUGGCAUUUCCCUGGGUGUAUUAGUCUCUGA